CGCCAGUGGCAUCGCCGGGUAGCUAUGUUCGGAAGAGAUAACCGCUGAAAGCAUCUAAGCGGGAAACUCGCCUUAAGAUGAGAUAUCCCUGGGGACUAGAUCCCCUUGAAGGGUCGUUCGAGACCAGGACGUUGAUAGGUCAGGUGUGUAAGCGCAGUAAUGCGUUCAGCUAACUGAUACUAAUUGCCCGUAAGGCUUGAUCCU
rnacentral:ncRNA from 1 species